ACAGUAAGAAUCUAAAUGAUUAGGGACUAAAAAAAUAUACAGUCAAACUAAGUGGCCUCGCUGUGAAUAGCCAACACAUCAUAGGUCCAAGGAUUAGACACACCACUACAGCAUCAAGAAAAUCAUUGAUAAAUGAGUAGACUCCAAGUGAUUUCUCAUGUUGAUCACGCUCAGUGUAAGUUGUUCUCUAACAACCACCUAUACUCUCACCCC
rnacentral:lncRNA from 1 species